GGAAACAUCUACCUAUUAUGCAUACAUAUAUAUAUGUAACAAUACACAUACCUGUAUGUCAGUAUUUCUAUAUGUAUAUAUGUGACCAUAUUUGUAUAUGCUUAUAUGCACACAUAAGAUAUCUGCAAAGUUAGCACAAGGUCAUCUAAAAGAAUAAAGCAAAGUACAUAAGAAAGUAAUUUUGAGCUGUAGGCAUUAGAAGCCAUAGAUACUAGAAGUCACCUCUUAUAGAAUACCAUGCCUUAGCCGAUUCCUGAAGAAAAUGAUGACUUCCAAGAGUUAGAAGUAUAAGGGAGAGGAUGUUAGACAUGGAUGGCAGUCAGUAAGUAAAUAGAGAAUAGACUCAAAAGGUGCAGUAUCUUCUAUAAAGAAGUUGGCAAUGCAAAAGAUGAUUUUUUUUUUACUGAUGAGGAAACUGAAGCUUAGACAGUCGACUUCCUUGACCAAGGGACUCUUAAAAAGUUCCCAGUUAUUCCUGCUGAGGUUAUUGCUUCAGUUGACAACUUCCUGGAAGUGAGACUGACUAGUGAAUGUGGUGCUGAUUGAACCAGAUUCCAUGAGAUGACUCUAACACCACCCCUAAGAAACAACAUUCUUCUCCCAUGAAUCUGAGUCAAGGAAGCAGGAAGCUGCUUACCACAAGAAAGAGUAGGUUAGAACAAAUAGCCUCUACUACAGUUGACAGGAUCCAGCACUGACUGAAUUUUUAGAGAUUGUUCCACCCCCUUUGCUGUUCUGCUCAUUCCUUUGCUACCAAUUUCCCAUUGUUAAAUAAAGAAAUUAGUGGGCACUAAAUCCUUGUGGUG
rnacentral:lncRNA from 1 species